GAUCGGCCCGCGUCUGAUUAGGUAGUUGGUGGGGUAAUGGCCUACCAAGCCUUCGAUCCGUAGCUGGUGUGAGAGGAUGAUCAGCCACACUGGGACUGAGAUACGGCCCAGACUCCUACGGGAGGCAGCAGUGGGGAAUAUUGGACAAUGGGCGCAAGCCUGAUCCAGCAAUGCCGCGUGAGUGAAGAAGGCCUUAGGGUUGUAAAGCUCUUUCGGCGGGGACGAUGAUGACGGUACCCGCAGAAGAAGCCCCGGCUAACUCCGUGCCAGCAGCCGCGGUAAUACGGAGGGGGCUAGCGUUGUUCGGAAUUACUGGGCGUAAAGGGCGCGUAGGCGGUGCGAUAAGUCAGGCGUGAAAGGCCCGGGCUCAACCCGGGGACUGCGCUUGAUACUGUUGCGCUGUGAGUCCGGGAGAGGAUGGCGGAAUUCCCAGUGUAGAGGUGAGAUUCGUAGAUAUUGGGAAGAACACCGGUGGCGAAGGCGGCCAUCUGGACCGGCACUGACGCUGAGGCGCGAAAGCGUGGGGAGCAAACAGGAUUAGAUACCCUGGUAGUCCACGCCGUAAACGAUGCGUGCUAGACGUUGGGGGGCUUGCCCUUCGGUGUCGCCGCUAACGCAUGAAACCACGCCGCCUGGGGAG
rnacentral:rRNA from 1 species